rnacentral:rRNA from 1 species
UACGAAGGGGGCUAGCGUUGCUCGGAAUCACUGGGCGUAAAGCGCACGUAGGCGGAUUGUUAAGUCAGGGGUGAAAUCCUGGAGCUCAACUCCGGAACUGCCUUUGAUACUGGCGAUCUUGAGUCCGGGAGAGGUGAGUGGAACUGCGAGUGUAGAGGUGAAAUUCGUAGAUAUUCGCAAGAACACCAGUGGCGAAGGCGGCUCACUGGCCCGAUACUGACGCUGAGGCACGAAAGCGUGGGGAGCAAACAGG